CCGCAAGGAGCCAGCCGUCUAAGGUGGGACAGAUGAUUGGGGUGAAGUCGUAACAAGGUAGCCGUAGGAGAACCUGCGGCUGGAUCACCUCCUUUCUAAGGAA
rnacentral:rRNA from 1 species